rnacentral:lncRNA from 1 species
AAAGUCACAGAUAUUGAAAGCAUCAUAAUCAGAUAUCCACUGGAAGUAAUUGAUAACUUUGGUUGGCAAGUCAGUGAGAAAAGGGACGGGACUCUGUGUUGUUUGCCUCUUAUGGCAUGUUGGAGCAGCUAGUUGUGAAGUAUAUGUUGUUGUUAUAUCUUAUAACCAUAUAUACCGUUAUAUUUUACCAAAGAAAAAUUCUCAACACUGAUAUUUGUAAUUUGUU